rnacentral:rRNA from 1 species
AUUGAACGCUGGCGGCAUGCUUUACACAUGCAAGUCGAACGGCAGCGCGGGCUUCGGCCUGGCGGCGAGUGGCGAACGGGUGAGUAAUGCAUCGGAACGUGCCCAGUAGUGGGGGAUAGCCCGGCGAAAGCCGGAUUAAUACCGCAUACGACCUGAGGGUGAAAGCGGGGGAGCGAAAGGCCUCGCGCUAUUGGAGCGGCCGAUGUCGGAUUAGCUAGUUGGUGGGGUAAAGGCUUACCAAGGCGACGAUCCGUAGCUGGUCUGAGAGGACGACCAGCCACACGGGGACUGAGACACGGCCCAGACUCCUACGGGAGGCAGCAGUGGGGAAUUUUGGACAAUGGGGGCAACCCUGAUCCAGCGAUGCCGCGUGCGGGAAGAAGGCCUUCGGGUUGUAAACCGCUUUUGUUCGGGAAGAAAUCCUCUGGGCUAAUACCCCGGGGGGAUGACGGUACCGGAAGAAUAAGCACCGGCUAACUACGUG